CAAUCUUUCCACAUAAGCUAUUUGCUUUGUGUUGAGUGUCGUCAAGUCUUGUUGACCCUUGUUAAGAGACUUUUCAUGCUCCUAAGAUCAAGAUCACGUACACACCACAUAUAUAUAUGCUGCUUCUACACUGGAAGUACGCAACCACAUGUAUUUUGCAUCCACUAAAUAGGUUGCUCCAUACUCUAAAUGUUAGAACAUCUCUCUAAGCAUUAUUUGGUAAAUGAGACAUCAAAAGGCUAGGCAAAAUGAAAUAAAAAGAUGGACAUGUGCAAGUCCACAGAAAAAGAAAAUUGAGCACAUGAAAGCUCAUAUAAAAAAAAUGCUAGCCAUGUCUCAAUACAUAGAGAGUCUAUCAAAUAAAGGAGCAACCUAGUCCACCAUAUAUCACACUUGCACAUCUUGAUCUGGGAGUAUGACACUUGUCUUCAAGGAUCCGAGCUUUGACUUCGCAAUACAUGCAAAGUAAGUAUGCUAUCUCCUUUCAUCCCUACCUUGAACUCCACAUAAGCCUUUUAGAAAUAGGAUGAAAUAGAGAAGGCAACGCUUACCAUAUGCCUUGGUGAGGAAUCAUACACCAUUUGAGUGACAUGAGAGAACCAUAAGAGGAACAUUUAAGCUUUCUUUUGAAAAUAUCACAAAACCUCUGAUAUGAAACUUGCUAAGAAUGAGAAAGUUAGUGCUCAAGUCAAACUGUUCUGUCUCUCAACCACCUAAGACAAAGGAAAAGCCAUAAGCCCCAUAAGGGACUAAGGUAAUAGGGGUAAGUUUACAUAGCUAAAUUUUUCAUGCAAAGAGAAGAACUUUGUUGUACACAUGGUACUCUUGAAAUGUGAACAUAGUAACAA
rnacentral:lncRNA from 1 species